UAGAAUUAACUGGGUGUGUAAAUCCCUUUUGACUCAUCUUCUCUGACAGCAGGGUGGAAGAGUAACUGGUCGACCACAACGUUCUCUUGAUUCCCAGUAAGAAAUAUACUUUUCCUCUGAGAAGUCCAUCAAUUAAUAUUAACAAGGAGAAAGAGAAGGAAUAACUUAGCAGGAAGCUUUGACUCUUCCCCGGAUUCGAUUCAAGAGAUCAUCAAGGAAGGAGUCUGACUGUAACAUAUCCCUCUCUUCCUCUGAUGAGAGUGACAACCGGGGUGACUGGAACCAGAGGGCAGCCUACUCUCCUUUGGCAAACAAACACCCACUCUGAGCCAGAUGGCGUGCAGUACUUCUGAAGUUAAAUCCAGCCUUAUGACAAUGGUCAUGGACAAUAAGGAACUACUUGGACUGGGAUGCCAAAUAUUCAGCUCUUGGUGAGUCCCUUCCAUCAAGCAGGGAUGUCUGAACCUCCUUGAGUGAAAACACCCACACAGGCCCCUUGACAACAUGUGGAUCUAGCUAGAGGCACUUUUUUGACUCUUGUUUUAGGUGGGAUCUCUUUGGUUAUAUUUUUAUGUUUAGUUUUCAUCUGCUUUAUCUUUUCCAGAAAAAAAAAUAACAAUGAUUAAGAACACAUAAAUAAAAACCUUGGCAUGGAUCAUCAAUUAGCUGGUUGCUUUGCAACAUGAUUUUACUGCUCAUCUUAUGAUGGUUUCAUUGAUUAACUGAUUGAUUGAUUGAUGUACCCAUUCAUUCAGCAGAGCCUACAAUGGUAUACACACAAGAUCCUAGGAUCCUGAGUGAAAAGAUGCACAUUGGGCUUGUCAAAACACGACUUAUAAAAGCUGUGUCUCCUUGGUAAACCCUUUACAAUUUUCUCAGUUUUAGCUACUACAUCUUAUAUAGAAAAUAAUAAGAGUAAUUGUGCCUAAAAUAUCACUUGUAAAAAGAUUUAUAAACUAUAAAACACCAUGCAAAUACUUCUUUAAUUCUCAGAGUCUAAAGCUACAACUGGGCUGUUGUAUAAUUUAAGUGAAUAAGCAUAUUCUAACAUCCAUGCUGGGCUCAGAACUAUGUGAAUUUUAUAGAUAAAAGUCUAAUCUUAUAGAGAUUCCUUACUUAAGAAAGACUAAAAUCUAGAAGAAAAUAAGUUGGGCUAAGAGAAGGUAAAAAUUUAGUCACUGAGUUUUCCUAAAAUUUUCAGUUAUUAGUAAUUUAUUUGUGGUCCUUCUUCAAGAUCCUGAGCCCUGAUGCUGCAGAACCUGUGGAUGAAUAUACACCAGUUAAUUUAAGGUAUUACACAAAAACCUCUUUAAACAUAAGGACAUUUCUCUUUUAUUUGACAUAAUAUUCUGCUUGCUAAAUAAUUUUACAAUUUCAUGAUAGUUAAGAAAUUUAAUGGCCACUGAAUCCAGGCUUCUUUCCCUUGUAUUUUUCAGAAAUCAAAGUGGAAUGCUAAUUGAAAAAUAUUAAUUUUUAUUGUUCAGAGAAAAUAUUUAAUUGUAUAAGUAAAAUAUCCAAACAUAGGCUUUUGAAAAGAGAGAGAGAGAGAGAGAGAGAGAGAGAGAGAGAGAGAGAGAGAGGUAUUUAAGUCUGGGCUAUUCUGUUUAACAGAGAGUAACUAAAAUUUUUGUAAUUCAGUUUCCUUGUAUGUAGAAUAAUGCCCCAUUUUAAAGGUUAAAAAUGUUUUGAGGACUAUUGUUUAUUGACCACAGGAUGGGUUUCCAGAACAAAGAUCAUCAAAUACAAUGGCUUGAACAAAUGUAAGUUUCUUGUUUCCUCACAUAGCCUGGGUGGUGGUUCACAUUUACUCAGUGGUGUGGAGACCCAGUGAUGAUCCAUUGUAGAUUAUAAUAAUGCACUUUAGUAAAUUCUAACAGGACAUGUGAUCCAAACAGAUAAGAAGGGUCAAGGGCCUCAGGGAGACCCAGGAUUUCUGUUCAUUUUGCUGCCAUCAGGAUCUUCAGAGAAACAAUCACCUACGUACAGUCUUGGACAACAUCUUGUGGCCUGGCAUACCUCAGCACUCAUCUCUCUGAGCACCAAUAACAUUUUCCUUUUAACACUCAUAAUUUGAAUGAUCACAUGUUAGUGUUUUUGUUUGUUUGUUUUCCUACUGGUGUAUGCUCUGCAAAAUGGGAAGAGGUAGCUUAUUGGGAAAAUCAGGCUUAAAGUUUUAGGAACCUUGUGGUGUGUAUGUAUGUGUAAUGUGAGUGUGUAUGUAUGUAAGCAUAUAUGUGUGUGUGUAUGCAAGCAUUCUGUGUGGUGUGAUUAUGUGUGAAGUGAUUCAUUCAACUAGGCAGAAGGCAGCAGUUAUAUGGGAGGCCUAUUAAACAUAUCAGAGCCUGCUGGAGGAUUGUCAAAGGGUGUCUUUAGUUGGGUGUGAUUUUCUGAACCACGGUUGCCACUGCCCUCUGAGAGUAUCCAUCAUCAACUCAGGGUCCAUCAGGUUGCAUUGGAGGGCUCCCAUUUCCCCCGGAGGCCAUGGGACUUCCCGGCUCUGAAUAGGUAUUACAGAUGGUGCUGCAGGUAAGUGUCAGAUGGGGAAGCAGCAUGAGUCCUUGUCACCUCUCCUUUCCCAGAAGCUACUUCCUCGAGUCUCUCCACACUGCCAGCAGAGGCUCAGGUGCCUGGCUCUCUGCCCUGCUCCUGAAGUUCUCUUUGACAUUGUCACUUAUGCACCCUGCCUUGUGCAGGGUGAUCACUAGUCUCAUUCUGUCUGGGGUUUAAACCUCUUUUCAAAGCAUACUUAUUGAUAGCACUCAAAACCUGUCCCAGUUUAGAUGGAAAAUUGUUUGGGCAAAUUAAAAUAUGGUAUGUUUAAACCUGAAUGUUAAAUGCCUUCUUUCUACACUCUUCAAAGAGCUCCUAUGUAAAGCAUAUUUGGAGAGACAUCAACAGUCUCAACUGAGGGCACAGUAGGAAUAUAUUUGAGGUAUGAAUAUGGGGUCAUCUCCAUAGAGGUGACAACAGUAUUUGAGGUGGUGAAUGGAUGAGAGGAUCUGAUCCAACCUCUUGUUCAGGAAAGAUAAUGAGGAACUCAUGACCCCUACAUUUGUUUUGAACUUGGUAUUUUUCUUACAACAGGUCCGUUUAUUAUAUCAACUGAUGUUCUAACACUACUAUGGGGUAGGCACUACCUGUGAUAUUAUCCCUGCCUUAACUUUGAUUAAAAAAACCCUGAGUAAUGCUAAAUUGCUAAGCACAUUUUAAUAGUCAAAGGCAGAAACCGAAUCCAAAUGCAAAUUCAUCAGACUUAAAUUCAAAUUGUCUCCCACCUGUAGUGCACAAGCAGAAUGUAGCCAAUGAUUCACUUGUUCAGUUUGUUAAUGGUUUGAAAACACUGAUCCAUAUUGCCUGUGUGAUAAUUGAUGUUACCAGUGACAGACUUAAAUGGCUGGGUCCUAUUGAACCAGGUUUGUAUCCAGCUUCUCCCAUUUCCUGGAAUCAUGCAUAGCUCUAUCACUUAGAUUUUGUGUGUAAGGAGAAUCAUCCCUACUUCAGUGGUCUGGUUGUAUUAAGUUAUAUUGUGUAAUGUGCCUUAGGUGUCUUGUGCAGGUGACACCAAACAGAUGAUUUCUUCUUUAAAGUAGGUGUAAAAUGCUUAUGUGUUUAGUACAUCUUUAAAUUUGAGUUGUGAUUUGUAGAAUAGAUAAAAGAAAUGUGAGCAAUUUCACAAUUGUGGGGGGGGGGCAGUGAAGCCCCUCAUAACCUUAGAUAUGCAGUUAAACCAGAAGCUGAAUUUCCAAGAAGAUAAUAAUCCAUGGGUUCCAUCUCUGCUUCUUACAAACACUGAAAAAUCUGAAAUUCUCCACCACUGGAAAGAAAUUUAAUAUUUAAAGGUAAUUUGACCUGUACAUGUGUGUACCAUGAAUAUUUGAUGAAACCUAUAGCAAAAGUAUUUAUAUAGCAUUAAUCUGGGGAUAUUUAUUUCUUAUUCGUUUUCUAGGAUAUUAUUUCUUCAGCAAAUGCAAAAUUGCCCUCCGUAAAAGUGCUCAGCUCUCAAGGUGCGCUUAGAAAUUGUAGAGUAGAAAUAUUCCUUUCCCUAUGACAAAUGUCGACACUACAUAUCCCACCAGAAAGAAGAAACAAUUGUAAAAGGGUAAGAGCAUCCCAAAUUAUGACCCCACGUUCUUGGCAUAGGGCUAGAUCAUCACCCUUUCACAAGUACCACUCUUUAACUCUUCAUUCCAUUUCAUAUAAGUGCUCAGAAAUAUCAACAGAUCAACAGCAGAGUCUGUCUCAAUCCUUUUCCUUUGGUGUCAUUUGUUUCACUUCUUUGUGAUGUUUGAAUUUGCUAGUGCUUUGAAUUCAACGGUAUUCAUUGAUUCAGUUUAGUUGGUAGUUAGUAUAAUGUCUAAUCAGAGAUUUUUUUUAAAAAAUUGUUUUUAAAUUGGCUUGUAUAUACACCUAGAUUGGAGGUGCUUUUCUUUAUUGUCGCUUCAAUGCUAAGCAAAAAUGAACAUCAACAAUCAAUGUAACAAAAACAACACUUUGUCCAAAUGUAAUUUAGUGUUUUUUAAAUGUUUUUACCAGAUCUAUUGUUGCAGAUUUGAAGAAAAAAUAAUAAGGGUUGUCUCAUCAUAUUUUAUAACUUUAAGAUUUCAACAUAUUUGAGAGAGGAAAAAAAGUUACAGAAAAAUAAGUGUCAACUCCUUUCUCACCCUGAGUGAGUACAAAGAGUUGCCUAUUUCACCAGGUGUACCAUGCAGAGCUGUUUCUGGGCAUGCUCACACUGGCCAAGUAAGUCACCACCAGAAACCUGUUUGUGUUUUGAGUCAUUUCCAUUUGAUCCUGCUCUUUAAAAUGUUAUUCAAGUCAGGAAAACAUAAUCAAUACUUAUAAUCAGCAUACUCUUUUAAAAUGUCAUUAGCCAGAUAUCAUGUUUUACUAUCUAGUGGAGGAAAAAUAAAACUUAAGAUAGAAAUAUAAGGUACUGAACUACUUAAAAGCAAAGAAUCCAAAAGGAAAUGUUCCAUAGGCUACAUGUCUAAGAAGUAUAUCCCAGAAAAAUUGAUAAUGUGUUUAUUCUAGAAGAAAGGUUUCUAGGUUAACACAGAAGUCUGUCUCACAUGUGACUUUGUUAAAAUAGUCACCAAGUUAUGCUUUGACUUUUUUUUUUUUUGACAGUGAUGAUCCAAGAGGUCUUAACCAGCCAGAAUGGGGAAGUGUCGACUGCUGUUUAAGGUGUGAAUUUUGCUGGCUGUAGCAACCAUGGACUGUGACAUUGAGAUCUUUCUUCCAGAAAGAACUUAACAUUCAAAUUCAAUGAGUGCAGUCAGUAGACAUCAGAUACUGGAAAACACUCCGCGAACUAUUUGAGAAGUGUGAAGACAAGAAAUGAGGUGGUGCCUUUGAAAUAGAUGUCUCCACAACUGAAAAAAAAAAUUGAAGUUUAGACAUUGGCAUGGCUUUGAUCUUCAACAUCCCCCCCCAAAACCUUGUUUUCUUAAAGUCUUGGUGGUGACUCAGUGCCAUUGAGAGGUGACAAAACCUUUAGAAGGUGGGGUCUAGGGAAGAAGGUAGGUCCUUGAGGGUGUAAUUUUGAUGAGUAUAUUGGAACCCCAAUCUCUUCCUUUCUUUCUUUCCUAACUGGCUACCAUGAGGUGAACUGGCCUCUUCUGCCAUGCACUACCACCAUGAUAUAUUGUGUCACCACAGGUCCAGAGUGACAUGGCUAAGUCAUCAUGGACUAAAGCCUCAGAACUGUCACCCAAAUAAACCUUUAUUCCUUAUAAGUUGUUUAUAUCAAGCAUUUUGUCACAGUGAUGGUAAGCUGAACUAGCACAAGAUACUUAAGUGGUCUCGACUUCACUCUGAAAAUUGACUUAUCUUUACCAACAGGAGAUAAUUGAGCUUGCAGGAAGCGGUGUUGUAUACAAUAAUCUACUGUCUACCUUCUUUUGUCUAAUAUUGUUCCCAAACCUUUCUAACUCUUUUCUCUUAUGCAAGCUGAUCAUGCUGCAUAAAGAUUGCCUGGCCCUUCUUUUUUUUUUUGGGGGGGGGGGUUCCAGGAAUUGAACUUAGGGGUACUCAACCACUGAAUCACACCCCAAGCCUAUUUUGUAUUUUUAUUUAGAGACAGAAUUUCACUGAGUUAUUUAGCACCUCACUUUUGCUGAGACUGGUUUUGAACUCAUGAUCCUCCUGCCUCAGCCUCCUGAGCUGAUGAGAUUACCAGCAUGCGCCAAUGCCCGUGGAUUGUUUAUCCCUUCUUUAAAAUACUUAUAACCCUUAGCAGAAGGCAAUGAGGAAGUCAUCUUCAUGUCUGGUCUCAGAGAUGAGUCACUCCAAGUGAUCCUGACAUUCUCUUUCUCUGCUUUUUUCCUUCUCCAUUUAUUCCACAAAUGUAUCUUACUGAAAUAAUGUGAUAACUGUCCAGUUUUCCUGCUGAUAAACUCAAAAAAGCUUGGUGCCAUUGCUGCCUUUCCUUCUUUGAGGUACUCUGCUUAGCACAAUACCUGCAUUUAACUAGCUAUUUCAUGAAUAUUAAUGGACUAAAUAAGUUGCAUGAUAUCAAAUUUUAACUUAAAUAUUUGAUUUUGAGUGUUCAUCUUCAAUGAUUAAGGAAGAGGUUAAUUUUUAAUAAUUCACCAAUGCUUAGGUGAUCAGGAUUAGACAGUUUCAAAAUACCUUAGUUGUGCAGUAGGCGGGAGGGGGCAGGUUAAUUCAUGCCCAAGACACAUAAUAGUUCCAAAGGACUUUGCAUAAAUAAGUAAUUUAUUUUAUGUUUCUUGCUGGUAUUUUUGCUUUCCGAAUCUUCAAAAAGAUGAGCUUAAAGACCCAGAAGAGAGUUCAAAUUAAGACAAAUUAAAAAUAUGAUCCAAGUAAGACAGAAGAGGGAAGUAUGUAAAAAUGUACUUGUUCAGUCUUGCUACUAUUUCCUGGAGUCAAUCUCAGUUUAAAACAUAAUAAGCAGACCCCAGCUUGUCAUACCUACUUUCUCCCAGGGGUUUGAAACUGUAAUGAAAGCAUUUUAACUCAGUGGUAACUGGAUUAGAGUAAUGCAAGAACCUGUCACCUUGGGACCUCCUGCUUAUGUCUUGAACUGAAUAAAUGUGCAUGGAAAUUGUUUUAAACCGAUGGCUGUGCAGGAUCACAAGUUAUAGUAAUGUUGACAGUCUCAGCUUGGAACCUGGAAAAAUAGCAAAACUGUGGAGCAGGGAUUGAAAACAGCUCAUUUGCUGACAUGAAAACUGCGCUCAGAGGUUUAGAUGUACAACCUCUGCAGGUCAAUGGUGACAAUAUUUGCAAAGUGCCACCAGCAUCUCUACUGCAAAUUGAAGCAACUUAAUCCAAAUCUUUGCUGCAAAUCUCAAGCAACUUGAUUUCUUUUCCAGCCUUUAGUACCCAUAAGAAGCCAAAAGAAGAAGUUUCUCAGACUUAAAGUGUACGAAAGGAUACUAAAUCUUGCAUCUCCUGGAGGCCGAAUGGAUAAUGAAAAGGCAUAGUUGUCACAUUCUGCCAGAGCUGAAUAUCUUGGAAAUAAUCCAAUCAGUGUGUUCCUUUCAAAGAGUAGCCGGUGUUUCAGUAUGAGUUCCUCCUUCGUUAUUUCACAGGUUUAUUGUACUCUGUCACAGAGGCAAAACAUCUGUUGGCAAAGACAAGGGAAGAAAAGGGGAUUCUCCAUCUUCCUUAUGAACAUUUGCAAAGAAGUUCUGGUGAAUUUACUGCCACUGAAAAGUGGCAGUUUUUCACUUUCUGAGAUUCCAGGUUCAGGGCUGCACCAACUAAUUCCUGACUAAGAAAAAAGAAAACCUGUAAGUUCUAAACUGUCAAAAUGUAUCUUAGAGUCAAAUUUAGCAAAAUGGACACAGAAGGGAGGAUUCAGAAGAGUCUUAGAAAUCCAACCUGCUUCUUAUAAAGUUGAGUUGUUCCCUAAAGGAGAUUCAUUUAGAAUCCAUCUUUUCAUAGAACUUUAUUUAGUUCCAUAGUACCAGCAAAAUUGCUCAAUUCAUAAAGCCAUCCAUAUCAGCAAUAUUUAUAAAAUAUUACAUGGUUCUUCUUACUUCCUUCAAAUGGAAUAAGCAGUAGGAUGUCCAUUUUACAGAUGUGGUAAGUGAGAUUCAGAGAUCAGGUAUGUUUUGCCUGUGGCAUAUGGUGAUAUGAUUCUAAGUGAUAAGUCAGUAUUAUAUCUGAAUUUAUCUCUGCAAAACCCUGUGUCCCGGAGAAGGUCUAGUACAUAACAGAUACUUUGCUUUCCAGUCUUCCAUUGAAUUAAAUCAGUACCUCCAUAAUCCACUUGAAGAACUCAUCUUUUCAUAACACUUUGGAAAGGAAUAGGUGUUCACAACUACUUAGAAUAUUUAUUUGUUCGUGAAUUUGUGUCUCACCCUUUGCGUGCGAACUGUGAGAUGUUCAGAACCCACACAUGAUCACUUAGACAGUUCAGGUUUUGAAAUAACUUUUUAUAUAUCAAUGUAACUUGGUUGUAAUUUUUCUUAAAUUUUGAAUCGGGACUAAAGUGAAGUACUUAAUAUCAAAUUGGGAAGGCAUGUCAAAAACCAUGCCUGGUUUCUCCAAUCGUGAAACAGAUAAUGGUUUACUUUGGACUGAAGUAAAAAAAUAUAUAUAUGGAGACAAAUUUAGGAGUAUAUGGUAUUGAUUCUCUUGUUAUUACUAUUUUUACUAUUUGUGUGUGUCUAUAUUAUGCUUUUUUCUUCCCCCUUUUGUAUUCCAAACCUGUCUCCUGUUAUAUUAAAAAACAAAACAAAACAACAACAAUAAAAAAAACAGUCUUGACUCUAGGCACUGUGUAAACCACCCCCAAAGCUCCCCAAAUAUGGCAAGAACAGGCAACUCUUUCAAAGUUGUAUAAAGGGUGCAGGGAGCUGGUGUAUUUAGUAUCUAAGGAGCAGCUUUUCCUUUUCUUGUUACUUUUUUUCCCAUUUCCCUCAGUAGAAGCUAAAACUUUAUUAUAAAACCACAGAUAAGUAUAUCAACUGCUCAGAGGCUGGCACAGCAGAAUACAAGGAAAUAAGAGAUAAGGGAAUUUGGUCAAAUACAAAAAGUACUGUGGAAUUUAAACCAAAUGACAGCAGAUAAGGCUUUCUCUGAGUUUCUAUUAAAAAAUGUAAUAAAUAAGAAAUUCGAAAAUUUUUUUUCCAGGCCCAGCACUUUUGUUCCUACAUUGCUCAUCAUAAAUGUACAGUAUUUUCAUCAAUGUGUGGAUUCUAUUCACAGUUGCAAAAAUAUACACUGUUGGAGCCAUGCUAAAGAUAUGACAGCCUUAGAUUGAUGCCCUGUGAGUCUUUCUAUAAGGUUCAUUAUUUAAAUAAGUAGACUUUAUUUGCAAACUUGAGGAUGUAGCCCCAUAAGCUUGCAUGGAUGUCUGGUGGUGAAAGAAAGGUGGUUCAAUAGAAAUCAUCAGAAAUCAAAACAGAUUACAAACAAAUAGGGUAGGUACUUUGCAUAUGAAUUUCCUUAGGGAAAGUUCAUAGUUUUCUAUUUUAUCAUUACUUACAAUAUAAUAUUUCUCUAAGGUCUUUAAGGUACUGUUAGUAAUGGGUCUUACUGAUAUUUCACGGUCCACUAUGGAAUUGAAAUUGACCUAAGUCAGAUAUGUCUUAAAGCGGACACAGCCCUUCAAUGAAUUUUCAUAGAUUCAUGAAGACCAUCUCAGUUCCUAAGUUGACUUCAGGGAAGGGAGAGAGAUUGCAAUCUAGACAAAAAGAGACUCCAGUUGUACUCUGAGAUGACAGGACCUGCAGACCUGAGUAUGAUCUGCAGCCUUAGGUGAAGUGUUCUGGUGCUGGCUCUAUUUAUAGAGAGUAAUAUCCCCAAGUCAUAAAACAUCUCCCUGUAUAAUUAAUAUGGCACAUUUGUCUACCUCAGCAUCUCUUGAGCUCAGUCUAUGGGAUGGUUCAUAGAAGGAGAAGACCACACUAUUUGGAUGGUAGGUGUUCAACAAUUUCAUUGCAACUUGUCUUUUGUUCUUAUUGAUAUGUGCAUAUAAACUUCUAUCUACUUGAAUUUAUGUUUAAAAGCAUUUAUUGAUAGAUAAUUUGGGAAUCUCAUAUUUAUAUGUCAUAGUAGACUGAAAAAGAAUACACUAAGCCUAUGUGAUUCUUUAUACUUUAGUUCUUGCUAGCUUGCAAGUGGGGGGGAAUCUUAUCAUAUUUUAGUAAUAAUUCCAUAGACUGUGGCAAUACAUCCUUCCUGGGCAUAGUAGAUCUAGUGCCACAAAUAGGUCACACUUUGUAAAUAGUCUGAGUAUCAAAUCAUGAGUGGGUAUAACUAUCAAUAAACAAAAAUAGAGUCCAAUAGAAGUAGAUUGUGUGAAGAAUUGUAACAUAGUGUCAUAAUAUGUCAUAACACCUAAUUUUUAAAAAUAGUUCAAGUUUAAAUGUCAUGUUAUUUUAUAUAAUCAAAUUUUAGAUUUUUCUGUGUGUACAAAGAUGUUGGUAUUCACAAGAUAUUGAAGAUCCCAUGCUAUGUGGAACAUAAAAGAAGAUCAAAUCUCCUAAAAUUAGCCACGGAGUUGCUUACAGAAAUUGGAUAACUAGAAAAAUCUAACUCUGAUCAGUUUUUAAAAAUUGCUUUUUGAAGUACUUAAUUCUCUCUCUGAAAAUAAUUUAAGAUUUAGUAUCAAUGGAACAUUUCUUCGUAUUUAUAAACAAGAUCUCAUAAAUCUUUGCUGCUUUUGUUGUAUGGACCAGAAUAAGAGAUGAAUGUGAGGUUUAAUAAAACUGAACACCUAGAUCUCCA